rnacentral:rRNA from 1 species
AUACGUAGGUGGCAAGCGUUGUCCGGAAUUACUGGGCGUAAAGGAUGCGUAGGCGGAUAUGUAAGUCAGAUGUGAAAUACCCGGGCUCAACUUGGGUGCUGCAUUUGAAACUGCAUGUCUAGAGUGCGGGAGAGGAAAGUGGAAUUCCUAGUGUAGCGGUGAAAUGCGUAGAUAUUGGGAGGAACACCAGUGGCGAAGGCGGCUUUCUGGACGGUGUCUGACGCUGAGGCGCGAAAGCCAGGGGAGC